GACGAACGCUGGCGGCGUGCUUAACACAUGCAAGUCGAACGAUUAACCCGGAGCUUGCUCCGGUGGAUUAGUGGCAAACGGGUGAGUAACACGUGAGUAACCUGCCCUUGACUCUGGGAUAACCGCGGGAAACUGUAGCUAAUACCGGAGACGACCCUCGGCGGCACCUCCCGGGGGUGGAAAGAAUUUCGGGCAAGGAUGGACCCGCGGCCUAUCAGCUAGUUGGUGUGGUAACGGCCCACCAAGGCGACGACGAGUAGCCGGCCUGAGAGGGUGACCGGCCACACUGGGGCUGAGACACGGCCCAGACUCCUACGGGAGGCAGCAGUGGGGAAUUUUGGACAAUGGGCGCAAGCCUGAUCCAGCCAUGCCGCGUGCGGGAAGAAGGCCUUCGGGUUGUAAACCGCUUUUGUCAGAGAAGAAAUCUUCUGGGCUAAUACCCUGGGAGGAUGACGGUACCUGAAGAAUAAGCACCGGCUAACUAC
rnacentral:rRNA from 1 species